GGCAUGGGGGGACCCUGAUCCAGCCAUGCCGCGUGUGUGAAGAAGGCCUUAUGGUUGUAAAGCACUUUAAGCGAGGAGGAGGCUACUGAGACUAAUACUCUUGGAUAGUGGACGUUACUCGCAGAAUAAGCACCGGCUAACUCUGUGCCAGCAGCCGCGGUAAUACAGAGGGUGCGAGCGUUAAUCGGAUUUACUGGGCGUAAAGCGUGCGUAGGCGGCUUUUUAAGUCGGAUGUGAAAUCCCCGAGCUUAACUUGGGAAUUGCAUUCGAUACUGGGRAGCUAGAGUAUGGGAGAGGAUGGUAGAAUUCCAGGUGUAGUGGUGAAAUGCGUAGAGAUCUGGAGGAAUACCGAUGGCGAAGGCAGCCAUCUGGCCUAAUACUGACGCUGAGGUACGAAAGCAUGGGGAGCAAACAGGAUUAGAUACCCUGGUAGUCCAUGCCGUAAACGAUGUCUACUAGCCGUUGGGGCCUUUGAGGCUUUAGUGGCGCAGCUAACGCGAUAAGUAGACCGCCUGGGGAGUACGGUCGCAAGACUAAAACUCAAAUGAAUUGACGGGGAAUCGAAUUCCCGCGGCCGCCAUGGCGGCCGGGAGCAUGCGACGUCGGGCCCAAUUCGCCCUAWGGGNAGUCGUAUUA
rnacentral:rRNA from 1 species